rnacentral:rRNA from 1 species
AUUGAACGCUGGCGGCAUGCCUUACACAUGCAAGUCGAACGGCAGCGGACCUUCGGGUGCCGGCGAGUGGCGAACGGGUGAGUAAUGCAUCGGAACGUACCUUUCAGUGGGGGAUAACGUAGCGAAAGUUACGCUCAUACCGCAUAUUCUGUGAGCAGGAAAGCAGGGGAUCGCAAGACCUUGCGCUGAUUGAGCGGCCGAUGUCAGAUUAGCCAGUUGGUGAGGUAAAGGCUCACCAAGGCGACGAUCUGUAGCGGGUCUGAGAGGAAGAUCCGGCACACUGGAACUGAGACACGGUCCAGACUCCUACGGGAGGAAGCAGUGGGGAAUUUUGGAGAAUGGGGGCAACCCUGAUCCAGCCAUGCCGCGUGAGUGAAGAAGGCCUUCGGGUUGUAAAGCGCUUUCGGCCGGGAAGAAAUCGCACGGGCUAAUACCCUGUGUGGAUGACGGUACCGGAAUAAGAAGCACCGGCUAACUACGUGCCAGCCGCCGCAGUAAGAC